rnacentral:rRNA from 1 species
AAAUUGAAGAGUUUGAUCAUGGCUCAGAUUGAACGCUGGCGGCAGGCCUAACACAUGCAAGUCGAGCGGAAACGAGUUAUCUGAACCUUCGGGGRACGAUAACGGCGUCGAGCGGCGGACGGGUGAGUAAUGCCUAGGAAAUUGCCCUGAUGUGGGGGAUAACCAUUGGAAACGAUGGCUAAUACCGCAUGAUGCCUWYGGGCCAAAGAGGGGGACCUU